rnacentral:rRNA from 1 species
CGUGUCGUGAGAUGUUGGGUUAAGUCCCGCAACGAGCGCAACCCUCGACUUUAGUUGCCAGCAUUUAGUUGGGUACUCUAAAGUAACCGCCGGUGAUAAGCCGGAGGAAGGUGGGGAUGACGUCAAGUCCUCAUGGCCCUUACGCGCUGGGCUACACACGUGCUACAAUGGCGACUACAGUGGGCAGCAACUCCGCGAGGGGAAGCUAAUCUCCAAAAGUCGUCUCAGUUCGGAUUGCACUCUGCAACUCGAGUGCAUGAAGGCGGAAUCGCUAGUAAUCGCGGAUCAGCAUGCCGCGGUGAAUACGUUCCCAGGCCUU